UUUUAUUUACAAACCUUGGGCAAAUGAUUAUAAUCUAUUUUUAUCUAUAUUUCAUCAUUAUAUCUUAGAUUUAACAUCAAAAUUAUGUGAAUCAAAGUGAAAAUUUGUGAAACUUUUUUAUAUUUUAAAAAAAAUAAGAAUUUGAGUUGUGAGAGUCGAUCUAGACUUGGAUUUUGAAACUAAUCCCAUAUUUGGACUCGUGGGUUAUGGGUAGUCGGAAACUAACUUUGGACCUAGGUUUCGACCGAGCGGGCCCCGGGUUGACUUUUGUUGACUUUUUGAGAGAAGUACAAAGAUCAUAGCUUUAUCUAUUGUAAUUGUUUUCCCUUGAGUUUUUUGAUUAUAUUAAGUCAACUUUAGUUAGAUUUGAGCCGUGUGGAGGCGAAUUUUAGCGGAAAAGCUAUUUUUGAGGGUUGAGUUGGCCUAGUUGAAGUAAGUAUCUUGCCUAACUUUAUGUGGGAGAACUACCCCUUAGGAUUUGGGGUUGACUGUGUCAUUUGUGCUAUGUUAAAUCCGUGUACGUAAGGUGAUGAGUGGGUACAUGGGUUAUAUGUGGUAUUUGACCAGUUUAGACUACUUAGACUUUUUCCAUGCUUUAAUAGAAUUUUCAUAUUAUGUUCUAAAUUCUCAUAGUCAAUCUAAUCUUAUUUGUGUUAGUCUAUGCUUACAAGCCUUAAAUGACUUUGUUAAUACUUGUUCUACAUCUUACUCGAUAUUUUGCUCUUAUGUUUUAGUUGAAGUUGUUACUUCUUUCAUUAUUACAUGUUAUCUCUUCUAUUGUUGAUUUAUCAUUAUUUGAAGCCAUUGUUAAAUGUUAUUUCUUCCAUUGUUGAUUUAUCAUUAUUUGAAGUCAUUCUUAAAUAUUAUCUCUUCCAUUGUUUAUUUAUCAUUAUUUGAAGUCAUUAUUACAUGUUAUCUCUUCCCUCAUGAGUUGUUCUUAGUUGAUAUAGUAGUUACACAUUAUCUAUGUUAUUGUUGAGUUAUUGGUGUUGAAGUUGUCAAAGUCGUUAUCACAUUGAGGCGAAAUUGUUUACUGUUGAGAUAUCCUUCUUGUUGAGAAAUUUACAUUCAUUAUUAUUGUUGACAUUCUUGUACAUAUUGGGUUGAGCCAUGGACUAUUGUUGUGAAAAUAUUGAUAUUGUUGAUUAUUGGCAUGUUGUAAAAUAUGAGCUCUUGUGGUGUGAGUUGGUAUUGAGAUGUGUUAUUGAUGUGCAUGCGGCGGUAUAAGGAUAGGGGUUAAUGUGCAUGCUGUGACAUAAGGUGGGACUUGUGUGCGUGUUGCUUGUAAAGGAAUUACUUGAAGUCAUUCGGCAUCAUAAGGUGGGCUAAAGUAUGUGUAGCUAUUUCGGAAAAAAUAUUUUCAAAGUUGUUUAAAUGUAAGGCUCACGCGGUGGUAUAAGGAAAGAUUGUGAUCGAAAUUGAGAAAUGUGAAUACGAGGUGGUACCUCGGUUGUGCGCCUUGUAGUGUACGAGGUAGUACCUUAUUGGUGAUUCUUGUUGUUUAUUUCAUGUUGUAAAGAGUUAUUAGUGAAACACUUCUUGUUGCUUUCAUUCUUCCUUGCCUUAUUAGUUUGGAUCCGUAUUUGACUAUGGUGGUUCUCUUUAAUUUCUUCCCUUAUGUUUCUUUAUGCUUACAAUUCCGGUAUUAGUCUAUGUUAUUGACUUGUUUCGUAUUAGUUAUUUAUCCGCCUUCCAUUACUUCUCAUUAUUAUAUUUUCAUUAUGUUUAUUAUGUCCUAGUAGGUGUGUUGACCUGGUCUCGUCGCUACUCUACCGAGGUUAGGCUUGAUACUAAUUGGGUACCAUUGUGGUUUACUCGUAUUACACUUUUGCACAUCUUUUGUGUAGAUGCAGGUACGUCUUCCCGUGCUAGAAGUUAGAGGUUGAUUGAGUAGCUGCUUUUGGAGACUUCAAGGUAUACCGGCUUGAUGUCUGCAGUCCUCAGAGUCACAUUCUAUUUUAGACAUUCUACUAUAUAUUUAUUGUUUCAAAUAGUAUUGUAUCCCGUGACUAUUAGUACAUUCUUGUAGAGCUUAUAACUCCAUUCCACCAGGUUUUGGGAAAAAUGUUGGCUAUUAUACUGUUGAGUUUAUGAUAAUAGUGUGAAGGUUUAAUUUGAAUUUUAGUAGUAUUUUUGCUAUUUCUCUAUGCAUGUUAGGCGUACCUAGUUGUAGAGACUAGGUAUCAUCAUGACAUUCUACGGUGGAAAAUCGGGAUUCUGACAAGUUGGUAUCAGAGCUCUUGGUAUAUAGGUGCUACGAGUCAUAAGCAGGUUUAGUAGAAUCUUGCGAAUCGUUAUAGAGACAUUUUUACUUAUCUUCGAGAAGCUACGAAACUAUUAGGAAAACUCCACUACAUUGAUUCCUUAUCUUAUAGGUUGGUUGACUUCGAAAUCUAAAUCUUUGACUUUCUAUUCUCUCACAGAUGGUGAGGAUACGCACUGCUGGAUAUGAUAAACAGACAUUUGCGCCCCCUACUAGAGCCGUGAGAGGUUAGGACUAAGGCAGAGGCCGAGGAGGGUCAUGUGGUGUAGCUAGAGCUACGCCAGAGGCGCCACCAGUAGCUCUAGUUAGGGUACAGACACCCAUGGCACCUGUUGCCACCCCUGCACUUUAGGAGACGCUUGCACAGUUCUUGAGCAUGUUUGGUACUCUAGCUCAAGCGAGGUUGUUUCCACUUGCACCAGCCACAACAUAGGCUGGGGGAGGAGCUUAGACUCCUUCGACCCAUACUCUAGAGUAGCGGGGCCAUGUUGAUCAGGUAGAAGUUAUACCACUACAGCCUAUUGUUCCGGUUCAGCCCGAGGUUAAGGCACCGACAUUUGAGGAGAGCAGCUUAGACUUGAGAGGUUCUAGAAGAAUCACCCUCCUUCUUUCAGUGGCUUAGCUUCAAAGGAUGCACAUGAUUUUCUAGAGAAAUGCCAUUGUAUUCUCUGCACCAUGGGUGUUAUAGAGACGAGCGGAGUUGCUUUAACUACAUUCUAGCUGUCAGGAGCCACAUAUCAGUGGUGGCGGGUUUAUGAAGAGGGUAGCCCAGCCGAUGCAACUUCACUUACAUGGACUCUAUUUUCAGAGAUGUUUUUGAGAGAGUUUGUUCCCCAGAUCCUUGGGGAUGCAUGGCAUGUGGAAUUUGAGCAGCUGCGCCAGGGUACUAUGUCAGUGUCAGAGUAUGCUCUCAGAUUCGGUGAUUUCUCCAUACAUGCACCUGCCUUGGUUUCUACAGUCAGAGAGCGAGUCUGUUGAUUUAUCAAGGGGCUCAACUAUGUUAUUAUAUUUUGCAUAGCUUGAAAGUUGGAAAAACAAUAACCCAUAUCAAUAGGUGGUAGAGAUUACAUAGAGGUUGGAGGGUAUGCAGGGUCGUGAGAGAGAGGAUAGGGAGGCAAAAAUGCCUCGAGGUACAGGAGGAUUUAGUGGUGGCCACGCUGCAGCUACAACCCAUUAUGGUAGAGGCUAUGUAAGCCGUCUAGUUCGCUCAGCACUUCCAGCUUUUAGAGGUGGUCCGGUUAUUCCGAGGUCUCAGGUUGUACACUUUGCUCAACCACUUUUUAGUGCAUCUCCUGCACAGGGUGUCUUCAUCGGUCAGUCCAGCACACCAGGCCCGAGCUAGUCCCAACAGCCAUGCCCACCGAGAUCUUGCUUUAGUGUGGUGAUACCCUUCAUAUGUUUAGAGAAUCCCCUAGACUUAGGAGGGAUGCACCUCCGCGAACUACUUAGGCUCCACAGAUUCAGUCGGGUCCACAUACUUCACAGGCCAUGGUUGCUACUCCAGAUGCCGCUCCACCUGCACAACUAACUAGGGGUGGGUGAUGAGCGGGUAUAGAUCACCCUAGAGGAGGAUGCCAAGAUAGAUUCUAUGUUUUUCGGGGUAGGACAAAGGCAGUCACUUCAGACGCAGUCAUCACAGGUAUGGUUCCGGCUUGUUAUAGAGAUGCAUCAUUCUUAUUUGAUUCGGGAUCCACUUAUUCAUAUGUCUCAUCUUACUUUGCUCCAUAUUUGGAUAUAUCUCGUGAUUCUUUGAGUUCUCGUAUUUAUAUCUCUAUGCCCGCGGGAGAUUCUAUUAUUAUCCAUAUGUUUGAUCAUGUUUAGUUGUUAUUGGUGGUUUUGAGACCGGAGUUUAUCUAUUGUUACUCAGUAUGGUAGACUUUGAUGUGAUCUUGGGCAUGGAGUGACUGUCUCUACAUCAUGCUA
rnacentral:lncRNA from 1 species